rnacentral:rRNA from 1 species
CCGGCGACCGGCGCACGGGUGAGUAACACGUAUGCAACCUGCCCUCUUCAGGGGGACAACCUUCCGAAAGGGAGGCUAAUCCCGCGUAUAUCGGUUUCGGGCAUCCGAGAUCGAGGAAAGAUUCAUCGGAAGAGGAUGGGCAUGCGGCGCAUUAGCUAGACGGCGGGGUAACGGCCCACCGUGGCGACGAUGCGUAGGGGUUCUGAGAGGAAGGUCCCCCANACUGGUACUGAGACACGGACCAGACUCCUACGGAAGGCAGCAG